UAACUUUGUUUUUAUGUAGGCUAGGACUGCGCGGGCAGGAACUAGAGAGGAGACAUCGGUGCCUGGAGAAAAGGGUCUUGCUUAUCCAGGCGUGGCUUUGCGGCGGUUGGGCUCAAUAGGUGAACCACCAACGUUCAACUGCAGAUGUAUGUGAGAGGUCACAGAAAAAACAUUCCUGGGAUGAGACACGCCCCCUUCGCCCGAGGUUUCGUGGGUGAGGAGAGGAAGUACAUUUAGGGCACUGACCGUCCCCACCUUUUCGCAGAAUUCUAGAAUUGGCAAAUGAAAAGGUGGGGGGUGGUCUGGAUUAUAGCAGUUCACCUUGUACCUCUUCACAGGGCCUGGUGGCAGUAAUAACCGGAGGAGCCUCGGGCCUUGGCCUGUCUACAGCCAAAAGACUGGUGGGACAAGGAGCCACAGCUGUACUUCUGGACGUCCCUAACUCAGAGGGUGAGACCGAAGCCAAGAAGUUAGGAGGAAACUGCAUAUUUGCCCCAGCAAAUGUGAGUUAUGACUCUCCCAGGGUGUGCAUGAGGAAAAUUGUUGGGGUAUUCCUUCGAGCGGUGUCUGGGGUCGGUCAGAUGGCUUAGCGGGUAAGGGCACUUGAUGCCACCCAUGACCACCUCAGUUUGAUUUUUGGGAACCACAUGGUAUAAGGAAAGAUCCAACUCUGACCUGCGCACACACAUGUAAACAGAUGUAAGGGUGGGGAACCCACCUCCUUUUAGCUUUUGAC
rnacentral:lncRNA from 1 species